AGUGAACGCUGGCGGCGUGCCUAAUACAUGCAAGUCGAACGAUGAAGCAACUAGCUUGCUAGUUGUGGAUUAGUGGCGCACGGGUGAGUAAGGUAUAGUUAAUCUGCCCUACACAAGAGGACAACAGUUGGAAACGGCUGCUAAUACUCUAUACUCCUGCUUAACACAAGUUGAGUAGGGAAAGUUUUUCGGUGUAGGAUGAGACUAUAUAGUAUCAGCUAGUUGGUGAGGUAAUGGCUCACCAAGGCUAUGACGC
rnacentral:rRNA from 1 species